GACAAGACAAUACAAAAGCUGGACACACAUCUUCCAUAUUCUUCAUUCUUUUCAAUAUUUCCCCAUAAAUCCUAGCAACCCUCCUUGGCAAUAUUAAAAAAGAAGAAUAUGCCUUCCAAUUCAACUUUCUAGACCUUGAUAACUUGAUACCUCUAUACCUUCCAUUCAUUUUCUUGAUAAGCCAACACCUUCUAGGCCUUAUUGCAAUCACC
rnacentral:lncRNA from 1 species